UGCUGAAUCUCUGGGUAAGGUUAGG
rnacentral:piRNA from 1 species